rnacentral:rRNA from 1 species
UUAAAUUGAAGAGUUUGAUCAUGGCUCAGAUUGAACGCUGGCGGCAGGCCUAACACAUGCAAGUCGAACGGUAACAGGAAGAAGCUUGCUUCUUUGCUGAUGAGUGGCAGACGGGUGAGUAAUCUCUGGGUAACUGCCUGAGGGAGGAGGAUACAUACUGGAAACGGAAGCUAAUGCC